ACUCCUACGGGGAGGCAGCAGUAGGAAUAUUGGUCGAAUGGGUGAGAGCCUGAACCAGCCAUGCCGCGUGCAGGAAGACGGCCUUCUGGGUUGUAAACUGCUUUUACCAGGGGAUAAACGACUCUGCGGAGUUAAUUGAAGGUACCUGGAGAAUAAGCACCGGCUAACUACGUGCCAGCAGCCGCGGUAAUACGUAGGGUGCAAGCGUUGUCCGGAUUUAUUGGGUUUAAAGGUGCGUAGGCGGGCUAUUAAGUCAGUGGUGAAAUCCAGCAGCUUAACUGUUGNUGUCCAUUGAUACUGGUAGUCUUGAGUACAGAUGAGGUAGGCGGAAUUGACAGUGUAGCGGUGAAAUGCAUAGAUAUUGUCAAGAACUCCGAUAGCGAAGGCAGCUUACUGGGCUGUAACUGACGCUGAUGCACGAAAGUGUGGGGAUCAAACAGGAUUAGAUACCCUGGUAAGGCUCUG
rnacentral:rRNA from 1 species